ACGCUGGCGGCAUGCCUAACACAUGCAAGUCGAACGAGACCUUCGGGUCUAGUGGCGCACGGGUGCGUAACGCGUGGGAACCUGCCUUUAGGUCGGAAUAACUCAGAGAAAUUUGAGCUAAUACCGGAUGAUGUCUUCGGACCAAAGAUUUAUCGCCUAAGGAUGAGCCCGCGUUGGAUUAGCUAGUUGGUGGGGUAAAGGCCUACCAAGGCGACGAUCCAUAGCUGGUCUGAGAGGAUGAUCAGCCACACUGGGACUGAGACACGGCCCAGACUCCUACGGGAGGCAGCAGUGGGGAAUAUUGGACAAUGGGCGAAAGCCUGAUCCAGCAAUGCCGCGUGAGUGAAGAAGGCCUUCGGGUUGUAAAGCUCUUUUACCCGGGAUGAUAAUGACAGUACCGGGAGAAUAAGCUCCGGCUAACUCCGUG
rnacentral:rRNA from 1 species